AUUGAACGCUGGCGGCAUGCCUUGCACAUGCAAGUCGAACGGCAGCACGGGAGCAAUCCUGGUGGCGAGUGGCGAACGGGUGAGUAAUGUAUCGGAACGUGCCCAGUCGUGGGGGAUAACGCAGCGAAAGCUGUGCUAAUACCGCAUACGAUCUAUGGAUGAAAGCGGGGGAUCGCAAGACCUCGCGCGAUUGGAGCGGCCGAUAUCAGAUUAGCUAGUUGGUGGGGUAAAAGCUUACCAAGGCGACGAUCUGUAGCUGGUCUGAGAGGACGAACAACCACACUGGAACUGAGACACGGUCCAGACUCCUACGGGAGGCAGCAGUGGGGAAUUUUGGACAAGGUGCGCAAGCCUGAUCCAGCAAUGCCGCGUGCAGGAUGAAGGCCUUCGGGUUGUAAACUGCUUUUGUACGGAGCGAAAAGGCUCUCUCUAAUACAGGGGGCUCAUGACGGUACCGUAAGAAUAAGCACCGGCUAACUACGUGCCAGCAGCCGCUGUAA
rnacentral:rRNA from 1 species